UACGUAGGUGGCAAGCGUUGUCCGGAAUUAUUGGGCGUAAAGGGCGCGUAGGCGGUUCGUUCAGUCAGACGUGAAAUUCCUGGGCUCAACCUGGGGGCUGCGUUUGAUACGUGCGGGCUUGAGUUCGGAAGAGGGUCGUGGAAUUCCCAGUGUAGAGGUGAAAUUCGUAGAUAUUGGGAAGAACACCGGUGGCGAAGGCGGCGACCUGGUCCGAUACUGACGCUGAGGCGCGAAAGCGUGGGGAGCAAACAGG
rnacentral:rRNA from 1 species